rnacentral:rRNA from 1 species
UACGUAGGUCCCGAGCGUUGUCCGGAUUUAUUGGGCGUAAAGCGAGCGCAGGUGGUUUAUUAAGUCUGGUGUAAAAGGCACUGGCUCAACCAUUGUAUGCAUUGGAAACUGGUAGACUUGAGUGCAGGAGAGGAGAGUGGAAUUCCAUGUGUAGCGGUGAAAUGCGUAGAUAUAUGGAGGAACACCGGUGGCGAAAGCGGCUCUCUGGCCUGUAACUGACACUGAGGCUCGAAAGCGUGGGGAGCAAACAGG